UACGGAGGGUGCGAGCGUUGUCCGGAAUCACUGGGCGUAAAGGGCGCGUAGGUGGCCUGUGGAAGUCUGCGGUGAAAGCCCGGCGCUCAACGCCGGGUCGGCCGUGGAUACUCUCGGGCUCGAGCUUACUAGAGGCAGAUGGAAUUCCGGGUGUAGCGGUGGAUGCGUAGAUAUCCGAAGGAACAUCAGUGGCGAAAGCGGCUCCUGGACCAGAACUGACGAUCAGGCACGAAAGCGUGGGGAGCAAACAGG
rnacentral:rRNA from 1 species